GACACGAGUCUGCGGAUUGAAGCCCAUAGGCUCACUCCUACCCCGGCGCCUGCGUUCUCUACAAGUCAGGUGAAAGUUCUGAACAUCUACACACAGGAUCUCGACUGGGCGAAAACUAAAAGCGAUAGUAUAGCCGAUGGCACCAUGGUCGCCGCCCGUGAUCUAGAGUAUGACUCUCGUCGGAGCUCGAUGACGUCGAUCGGUCAAAACAUGCCGUUGCAGUGGGUCGACUUUGGCAUCUACGACUAUCUCAGCUUCGCUGAGUACACGGAAGUCGACGAGGAGUACGAUUCGGAUGACCCCAACUUCAGUCUGAGCGUCGGGCCACCUAACAUCUAGAUAUAGCGACGCCGCCCGCUGGAAUCACGGUCGACCCCCACCUUCUCAACUCCGGAGUAACGACGAAAAUUGGCACGUGGCAAGAAGGAGUUCGUCGGAUCUGUGCUUGGUGCGUGAUGUAUCUGUGCCUGACGACGCUGUCGAGUCGAGCGCUGUGUGCACACGAUCGCAAAAAAACACGAGCUUGUUUCGCAAACCUAACGACGUAAGCACCCGCCGGAUAUUGUGAAGGAAAGGCUUUGAUUGCCCUGCGAUGCGGUUUAAUGGCAACAGUGCGGGAAAAUGAAAGGUCGAGGAUACGAGGGGGCGAGAGCCUGAUCUGCAGGUUCGUAGUAAGGGUGCGCAUUAGUGU